AUUGAACGCUGGCGGUAUGCUUAAGACAUGCAAGUCGAACGGUAACAGGUUAAGCUGACGAGUGGCGGACGGGUGAGUAACACGUGGGAAUCUACCCAGUAGCGGGGGAUAAGCCAGGGAAACUUGGACUAAUACCGCAUACGCCCUAAGGGGGAAAGCCGCAAGGCACUAUCGGAUGAGCCCGCGUCUGAUUAGCUAGUUGGUGAGGUAAGAGCUCACCAAGGCGACGAUCAGUAGCUGGUCUGAGAGGAUGACCAGCCACAUUGGGACUGAGACACGGCCCAGACUCCUACGGGAGGCAGCAGUCGGGAAUAUUGGACAAUGGGGGCAACCCUGAUCCAGCAAUACCGCGUGUGUGAAGAGGGCCUGCGGGUUGUAAAGCACUUUUAGUGGGGAAGAUAAUGACGUUACCCACAGAAACAGCACCGGCUAACUCCGUGCCAGCCGCCGCGGUAA
rnacentral:rRNA from 1 species